UGCUCCCGGAUGUUAGCGGCGGACGGGUGAGUAACACGUGGGUAACCUGCCUGUAAGACUGGGAUAACUCCGGGAAACCGGAGCUAAUACCGGAUAGUUCCUUGAACCGCAUGGUUCAAGGAUGAAAGACGGUUUCGGCUGUCACUUACAGAUGGACCCGCGGCGCAUUAGCUAGUUGGUGAGGUAACGGCUCACCAAGGCGACGAUGCGUAGCCGACCUGAGAGGGUGAUCGGCCACACUGGGACUGAGACACGGCCCAGACUCCUACGGGAGGCAGCAGUAGGGAAUCUUCCGCAAUGGACGAAAGUCUGACGGAGCAACGCCGCGUGAGUGAUGAAGGUUUUCGGAUCGUAAAGCUCUGUUGUUAGGGAAGAACAAGUGCAAGAGUAACUGCUUGCACCUUGACGGUACCUAACCAGAAAGCCACGGCUAACUACGUGCCAGCAGCCGCGGUAAUACGUAGGUGGCAAGCGUUGUCCGGAAUUAUUGGGCGUAAAGGGCUCGCAGGCGGUUUCUUAAGUCUGAUGUGAAAGCCCCCGGCUCAACCGGGGAGGGUCAUUGGAAACUGGGAAACUUGAGUGCAGAAGAGGAGAGUGGAAUUCCACGUGUAGCGGUGAAAUGCGUAGAGAUGUGGAGGAACACCAGUGGCGAAGGCGACUC
rnacentral:rRNA from 1 species